ensembl:snRNA U6 U6 spliceosomal RNA
UUGCUUCAGCAGCAUAUACACUAAAAUUAGAACGAUACAGAGAUUAGCACGACCCCUGCACAAGGAUGACAGGAAAUUUAAGUGUUCCAUAUUUUU